CUUAUUUAACGAUGGUCCCGAGUUGUUCGGCGGGGCGCAAGACCUUUUCACACACCGGAUUGUUUGAACCCCCAAUACCUGUCCUCUCGAGCCUGAAUUUGUGGGGAGUCACAAGAAAGACAUGAGAGGAAAUCCAAAAUGGAAAGAGGUCUGAGGGAAGCCGGAGUGGGGACAGAAGAAUCCACACAGCACAGCACAUGGAACAGCAUGAGAGCCGGGCAGCAGGUGGCAAGAGAUGGAAAUCUUCCUCUUCAGGUCUGAAUGUAGAACUCUCAGCUUCUCCAGCACCAUGGAUGCCUGCAUGCCGCCAUGCUUCCUGCCAUGAUGACAAUAGACUAAACCUCUGAAACUGUAA